UCAAAUCAAAACACUGUUUGCUUCUUGCUUCCCACUGACAUUAAUGGAUUCUCACGCGCCAUUCCGUGGCUCUCUACCUCUUGUUUAAAAGUCCCCUUAUGUUUUUUUUUUUUUUGAUAAAUCCUAUCGGCUGAUCCGGUCGGUCCCGGAAAGAACGUACUUAGUACUACAGAGUAGACUAGCCCGAAAGCAUACCACACUGCCUGUCCCGAGUUUGGAAUACCUUCCGACUAAUGCCAGAGGAAAACUAAUCAUCUAUUAUGGUCCACCAUAUAAACCACUUGGGGCGAAACUCAAACCCAAACUCACCAAGUAAUAAUAAUUUAGUUUCUAAGAAGAAUCAAACUCCAAAUUGACAUGGAUACACACUAAGUUCCCUAUGUGGCUAUGUUUGAUGUCUACCUUAUUAUUUAUUGACAAUUUUAUUUUUUCACUCUUAUUAUAUUGUAGAUGCCAAAC
rnacentral:lncRNA from 1 species